AACGAACGCUGGCGGCAUGCCUAACACAUGCAAGUCGAACGAGACCUUCGGGUCUAGUGGCGCACGGGUGCGUAACGCGUGGGAACCUGCCCUUAGGUUCGGAAUAACUCCCCGAAAGGGGUGCUAAUACCGGAUAAUUUCUUCGGACCAAAGAUUUAUCGCCUUUGGAUGGGCCCGCGUUGGAUUAGCUAGUUGGUAGGGUAAAAGCCUACCAAGGCGACGAUCCAUAGCUGGUCUGAGAGGAUGAUCAGCCACACUGGGACUGAGACACGGCCCAGACUCCUACGGGAGGCAGCAGUGGGGAAUAUUGGACAAUGGGCGGAAGCCUGAUCCAGCAAUGCCGCGUGAGUGAUGAAGGCCUUAGGGUUGUAAAGCUCUUUUACCCGGGAUGAUAAUGACAGUACCGGGAGAAUAAGCUCCGGCUAACUCCGUG
rnacentral:rRNA from 1 species